rnacentral:rRNA from 1 species
AUUGAACGCUGGCGGCAGCCCUAACACAUGCAAGUCGAGCGAGCGGCGGACGGGUGCGUAAUGUAUGGGGACUGCCCGAUAGAGGGGGAUAACUACUGGAAACGGUAGCUAAUACCGCCUACUAUCGGAUAACCCAUAUGGGAUUAGCUAGUAGGUGAGGUAAUGGCUCACCUAGGCGACGAUCCCUAGCUGGUCUGAGAGGAUGAUCAGCCGAAAUAGGGAUGAGGAAAGGGCCAGACGCCGAGGAAGGAGGAAGUGGGGAAUAUUGGAAAAAUGGGGGAAGACUGAAGGAGACAGGCCGAGUGGAGGAAGAAGGCCCUAGGGUUGUAAAGUACUUUCAGUAGGGAGGCGUUACCGACAGAAGAAGCAACGGCUAACUCCGUGCCAGCAGCCGCGGUAAUAC